rnacentral:rRNA from 1 species
CCUACGGGUGGCAGCAGUGGGGAAUAUUGGACAAUGGGCGAAAGCCUGAUCCAGCCAUGCCGCGUGUGUGAAGAAGGCCUUCGGGUUGUAAAGCACUUUCAGUGGGGAAGAAAGCCUUGGGGCUAAUACCCUCGAGGAAGGACAUCACCCACAGAAGAAGCACCGGCUAACUCCGUGCCAGCAGCCGCGUUAAUACGGAGGGUGCGAGCGUUAAUCGGAAUUACUGGGCGUAAAGCGCGCGUAGGCGGUCUGAUAAGCCGGUUGUGAAAGCCCCGGGCUCAACCUGGGAACGGCAUCCGGAACUGUCAGGCUAGAGUGCAGGAGAGGAAGGUAGAAUUCCCGGUGUAGCGGUGAAAUGCGUAGAGAUCGGGAGGAAUACCAGUGGCGAAGGCGGCCUUCUGGACUGACACUGACGCUGAGGUGCGAAAGCGUGGGUAGCAAACAGGAUUAGAUACCCGAGUAGUC